rnacentral:lncRNA from 1 species
UGCCAAGUUUCACCUCCAUCCAAGGUGAUUUGAUUCACCAAAUAAUUCAGAAACCCUCCCUGUCCAGAAUCAAGUUAGAGUAACUCUACACUGCAAAGUUUGUCCAUUAGGUGUCAAACUUUGCAGGAAUGCUCAACACCUCUAAUGAUGAGAUCAUGCCAAGAUUUGGAUUUGUGGGGAUUGAUUUGCUAACAUCUUCUCACAAGAAUGCAGAUCUGCCCAUUUGUGGAUAUUUUAAGUUUACAUUGCCAAACUUGUCCAAUGGAGCUCAAAUUUGGUAGGGCCUCCUAAUUAUGCCUAAAACCAAAUCCUGUCAACUUUCAGUGCAAUUGGAGGAGGUUAACUCCCCCAAACCUGCAUCAAACACCUUCUGCCAGAUUUGUAAAACAGCAUCUAGCAACCACAACACUUACUCCCUUCCCUCCAAACUCUUGUCACGGAUGGCCUGUGUCCCUCCUAAACUGCAGACAAGAGACCCAGCAUUGGUUCAAUGAGAGGGAGCCAAAAUCUCCAUUUUAGCUCCUGAACUGGCAGAACCACUUUAACUCUCUCCCCUUGGCCAGUUUACUUCUUCUCGGUUCCUAGCACCCAAAGGGCACCUAACCCAUCUCCCAGACACGGCCAAGGCGCGCUCAUACCGUGGCAUGCCAAAGCUGCGCUCUGGACGCGCUAAGGGCGCACCCGAGCCCCAGCGGACCAGCUCCGGUCGGUUCUCGCCUUCACCUAUUGCCCCUCUUUGACCACACUGACGACUGUAUCCAGGGCAGCGUCGGGCCCCUCUUUCCCCCCUCUCCUCUGCCCCUGGCGACGCGUGCCCGCGCGCGGCCGAAGCGGCCAGAAGGACCUCGCCACCUCGACGCGCCAAGGAGCUGCCCCCGCUCCUCCUAAAG